ensembl:snRNA U6 U6 spliceosomal RNA
GUGCUUAUUCGGCAGCAUAUACACUAAAAUUGGAAUGAUACAGAGAAGAUUAGCAUGGCCCCUGCACAAACAUAACAUGCAAAAGAAGAAAAAUUAGUCUCGAAAUU